CAUUCUCAUCAGAAAAUGCUCUUGCCUCCCCUCUCUCAUCUUUUUCAAACCGCUCUCAUUCUUGAUCUGCUGCAGAAGACAGACUCAGAAUGAGAUUCUGUAAUCCUGCAAACAUCUGCAAGUGCUGAAGGGAUCGAUUUCGUCAGGGCAAGACGUAGUCAAUCAUUGACUUCUUUGUAUCCUGGAGGUUUAUUCGCGGAGAUCCCGAUUGCACACUAUUGGUGGGGGCGAAUAAAGUGUUAAAGGAAAGCGAUUACAUGCCUAGAAGCCAUUUCUCCUGUCUGUUCGUUUUUGCUAGCCCCGACAUCCUGCUCCAACAUAUUUUGCUUGCUUGACCGAAACGUCAUUUCAAGAACCAAAUACGCCUUUUAUACGAAGUGUGGAAGAAUGGAAAAGUUUGUCGAUGAAGCUGAAAGAAGAUGUUCGAUUAUACAGAGGCAGUUGAGGAUUAACUAUGAUGCUCUUGAGGACGACAGAGAAGGACCUGUUCCUGGACAUCGCAUGCUUCUUUGUUGGGAUCGAUAGAGAGAGAAAAUAUGCAGUGAAGGUGUUAGAUGGGUGCGGUCUAUUUGCGAAAAUCGGUAUCAGCGUCCUUUAGAACGAGGUGUCUUCUGGAAAUCGAUACGAUAGGAAGAAUAAAUAAGCUAAAGAUGCACGAUUUGAUUCGGGACAUGGGGAGAGAAAUUGUUUGGGUGGAGUGUCCCCGACAUCCUGAAAGUGUAGCAGGUUGUGGUGUCAUGAGGAUGCAUGUACUCUGCACUUUACAGAAUCACCACCUUGGAACAGAGGAAGUUGAAGGAAUCGUGCUAAAUUUCGCCAGAGUUGAGAACAGUAAAAGUGGAUGCAGAAGCAUUUGCAAGAAUGAAGAGGUUAAGGCUCCUGCAGCUCACUCGAUAACGUGCAUGAUUUCAUGAUCUGCCCAAGGACCUGAGAUGGGUCUAGUGGCAUCGAUUUCCUUUUGAGCUUUCUCACCAAGGACUUUAGCAUGGCAAGAUUGGUCGUGAUUUACUUACGGCACAGCAACCUCAGGGAACCGUGGAAGGACGAUAAGCUCCUAGGACACUUGGAAGGUUCUCAAUCUCAGUUAUUCACCUCUCCUGACCAAGACACCAGACUUCUCAAAACUGCCUAAUCUUGAGGGAUUGAUCCUAAGAGACUGCAUAGAGUUGGCAGAGGUGCACCCCUCGAUCAGGUAUCUCGAGAGACUCGUCUCGCUUAAUCUUAGAAACUGCAAGAAGCUCAAGAAAAUUCCGAGUAGCAUCUGCAGAGUGAAAUCCCUGGAAUAUAUGGACAUCUCAGGCUGCCCAACGAUCAACCAAUUACCUGAGGAUUUUUGGGACAUAGAAUCCUUGAGAGAGUUUCUUGCUGAAGGAACCAAUAUAACACGAGUCCCAUUCUCCAUCACACGUCUGAAGAACCUGAGGAAUGCAUCGUUUAAUGUCAGCAAGAUGCCGAAGACUAGCUCCAUUUCUUCCCUCGUCUGGUCACUGGUCUGGCCAAGGGGGCCACCAGAAUUAAGAAUGUUGAAAUCGGCUAAGUCGUUGAGGACGCUGAGGUUGGCUUGCUGCACCCUAUCCAAUGCAUCAAUCUUGAUGGACCGUCAAGUUUAGACCUUAGGGGAAAUCAGUUUUCUGGCUUGCCCGACACAAUCAAGGGUCUCCCUAAGCUCGAGAAACUUGUAUUGGAUGAUUGCGCAAAGCUCAAGUCCCUCCCAAGCAUGCCCCCGAGCUUAUUUGUCCUGCCGGCAGUUAAUUGCGUAUCAUUGGCAAGGCACUGCCUUGACCUCGACCCUUUAUUGUUCUCUAACUUUCAGAGAGACAUUAAGCGUGCCUAUGAACUUGCUGGAGAACCUGAACCUGCUGGAGCAAUAGUACACUUGGAAUGGUGCGGGAACCUCAUGGAGUGCAACGACCUAGCCCGAGAUGCACUGGAAAAUUUCAUACUAGGGGUACUUUCUUUUAUCCUUGCCCUUUUUUGCGCAUUUUUCUAUCAAAUUUUAACUCAUGCUCAUGGACUUGAUGUUUAACUCCACAUUCCAAUCCCCAUGUGAAUUCUGCCACGAAGAUGUUCACAAUCUACUAUACCUACUAUACUUAUCGAGCUCUAAAAAGUCCGUUAAAUUGGACCAUGUGGUUAAGGAACUCGUAAUUAGAUUUCCUUUGCCGAUAAUAUGUUGAUCAAUUUAUACAAAGUUCAAAACAGAGGCUAAGGUUCUCAUUCUUUUUUUCUUCGUUUUUCUCUCGGUAAUCAUUGAUGGGCACCAAAUUAAACUUGUCCUUGCAUGAUGAAAAUAACAAUGAACUGGGGAUAAAUUAUCCGGUGAUCCCACGUCCCGGAAUGGUUCGAUUAUCAGGGCAGCGGGCAGGCUUAGAGGGGUCACAAUUUGUGUCAUCUACUCAUCCGACCCGAACAUGCUAGUGCCAUCGCCUGCACCAGCUUACAGAGUGAUUGUCAGAAACAGAGGCACGGCACUGGAGCUUACCCAUCAAACAGGGAAAGGGGAGAUGACCAGAGGAUCCGUGAUGCAAUUCUUGGGGAAGGUAUAGGUAAGGCAUCCUACGCGUGGCUAGUCCACUUGCCGCACCAGGUUGUUUUCCGAGACGAGACGAGCUUCAAGGGUGAGGUGGAGCUUGAAGCGGAUUCUGGCAGCAGCAGCCUCCGCGUGGAGCAGAUUGGUAUCCACUUUGGGAGCCAGGUCUGUCGAUACUGCCGCUUUGAUCCCUCGACAGGUAGGGAGGCAACAGUCAGGACGCGAACAAACCGCUCCGCAAUGAUGCCUUCAACAUUGUUGCGCGAAUUCAACUUGUUCCAGGUAAUGCCCAACAGGAUAAAGUGAACAACAAGCUUUGGAAUCGCACGACGACAUCAAAGGCAUCAUUGCAGAGCUCUGCAGUCUGUUUGGUGACCAGAUUUGUUCACAAUCUAGUUCUUGUUAUCGCCUCCUCUGCAGCCAAGCUCCGGAUGUUCCUUUCGGGCUUUUCAGUUAGCUGGAUCCCCUGAACAGUUCCCCGGGGACUUUUAUUCAGCUUGAUUCCUCCAUCUUCGUCGAAUUGUGCUCGCACAUGACAUUUUCUUUUGGGUUAAAAGCCGUGCUCCUAUGGUUUGGAGGGCUAAGGAAUUUCUGCGCUAAUUGACUUAAACGGCUUCAUUUUCUUGAUAGAGUUCCUUGCGGCUUAGCUCACUUGUUGACAGACAUUGUUAAGACCACUAUAUCCUGCCUUUGCUUGAUGUUA